GAUGAACGCUAGCUACAGGCUUAACACAUGCAAGUCGAGGGACCGGCGCACGGGUGAGUAACACGUAUCCAACCUGCCCUUUACUCGGGGAUAGCCUUUCGAAAGAAAGAUUAAUACCUGAUAUAAAGGAUGCGGAUGCGUUCCAUUAGUUUGUUGGUAAGGUAACGGCUCACCAAGCCUUCGAUGGAUAGGGGUUCUGAGAGGAAGGUCCACCACAUUGGAACUGAGACACGGACCAAACUCCUACGGGAGGCAGCAGAGAAGAAUAUUGGUGAAUGGGCGCUAGCCUGAACCGGCCAAGUAGAGUGAAGGAUGAAGGCUUAUGGGUCGUAAACUUCUUUGAUAUAAGAGUAUGUAUUAUAUGAAUAAGGAUCGGCUAACUCCGUGCCAGCAGCCGCGGUAAUUC
rnacentral:rRNA from 1 species